GUGGAGUUGCUGUGCUUAUAAGGGAUUGAAGAAGAAAUAGAGCCUUAUAUAAAAGGUGCAAUUUGGUUUAAUUGUGAGACAAAAUAUCGGUUGGCCAUGUAAGGUGAUGAGGAUUGUAGCUUGGAAAUUAAACCAGGGCAAAUUUCGUUUGCUUCUUUCUUUCUUUCUUCUUUUAUUUUCUUUUUUAAGAAAUUUAAUGCACCCUUUUGCCAAUAAUUGAUUUUUUUUUUCUUGUUUAUGUUUUUGUAAUCUCUUAUUUCCUUGUAUUUUUUGUGAUUGAAUCGAAAUCAUUUUUGUGCUUUAUUGUGUGUUGCUUGUGAUGUUGCAGGCAGUACAGGUGAAAGUUACAA
rnacentral:misc_RNA from 1 species